rfam:Morus notabilis contig11121, whole genome shotgun sequence.
AUCCCAUGAUAAGGGCAUUUCCGCAAUAGCUCUUUGAAUCUUUCUCAUGCUUCAUACAGAGAUUCCUCAUCCACUUGUUGGAAUGAGGUAAUGUCAUUUAUGAGCUU